rnacentral:rRNA from 1 species
GCAUGCUUUACACAUGCAAGUCGAACGGCAGCACGGGGGCAACCCUGGUGGCGAGUGGCGAACGGGUGAGUAAUGCAUCGGAACGUGUCCUUAAGUGGGGAAUAACGCAUCGAAAGAUGUGCUAAUACCGCAUAAACUCCAAGGAGAAAAGCAGGGGAUCGUAAGACCUUGCGCUAAAGGAGCGGCCGAUGCCUGAUUAGCUAGUUGGUGGGGUAAAGGCCUACCAAGGCUACGAUCAGUAGUUGGUCUGAGAGGACGACCAACCACACUGGGACUGAGACACGGCCCAGACUCCUACGGGAGGCAGCAGUGGGGAAUUUUGGACAAUGGGCGAAAGCCUGAUCCAGCCAUGCCGCGUGAGUGAAGAAGGCCUUCGGGUUGUAAAGCUCUUUCAGUCGGAAAGAAACGAUUGUAAAUAAUACUUGCAAUUAAUGACGGUACCGACAGAAGAAGCACCGGCUAACUACGUGCCAGCAGCCGCGGUAAUACGUAGGGUGCGAGCGUUAAUCGGAAUUACUGGGCGUAAAGGGUGCGCAGGCGGUUUUGUAAGUCAGAUGUGAAAUCCCCGGGCUUAACCUGGGAAUUGCGUUUGAAACUGCAAGGCUAGAGUGUAGCAGAGGGGAGUGGAAUUCCACGUGUAGCAGUGAAAUGCGCAGAGAUGUGGAAGAACACCAAUGGCGAAGGCAGCUCCCUGGGUUAGCACUGACGCUCAUGCACAAAGCGUGGGGAG